GUGGCUGAGUGAGGACACCAAACCUAUUCUUAGGAGUUGUCUUGAAAUUCUUACUAACUUUUGAACGUGGAACCCUACAUCUUCGUUUUGUACUGGUCCCCACAUAUUUUAUAGCUGAUCUGAAGGAGGAGAGAGAGAUGAUGGGGGAUGAAGGGUAUGGAAUUGUAUGCUAUGGCUGCCUGCUGUCGAAGUUCUCCAGGUCCAGAGAGGAUUUAAGUUGCUGGAAUAAUCCACCCAGUCUUCGAGAUGUGAUUAUAUAAUUGAUGGUAUGUGGAUAUCACUGAUCACAAAACACAAUAAAGGACCUAAGGCAACAUCUUUGUUCUUUCUCAAUGUGGGGAAAAUGUUUUUGUUCUACUUGGUAAGUGGCCUCUGCAGUGUCUCUUGGAGACCUCAAUAAAUG
rnacentral:lncRNA from 10 species